CACCAGCCCCUCGAGUGGUGGGGAUGAUUAUUUGACCUAAAGCGUCCGUAGCCGGCCAGGUAAGUUUCCCGUUAAAUCCAACGUCUCAAGCGUUGGGCUGCGGGAAAUACUGUCUGGCUAGAGAGUGGGAGAGGUCUGCGGUAUUCUGGGGGUAGGGGCGAAAUCCUUUGAUCCCCGGAGGACCACCAGUGGCGAAGGCUGCAGACUAGAACACGUCUGACGGUCAGGGACGAAAGCUGGGGUAGCGAACCGGAUUAGAUACCUGGGUAGUCCCAGCCGUAAACGAUGCAUGCUAGGUGUUGGGUUGGCCACGAGCCACCCCAGUGCCGCAGGGAAGCCGUUAAGCAUGCCGCCUGGGAAGUACGAUCGCAAGAUUGAAACUUAAGGAAUUGGCGGGGAGCACCACCAGGCGUGAAGCCUGCGGUUU
rnacentral:rRNA from 1 species